GGCGACGUGGCCAAGUGGUUAAGGCGGGGCUCUGCAAAAGCCCUAUUCGGCGGUUCGAAUCCGCCCGUCGCCUCCA
rnacentral:tRNA from 1 species